AUGUUUGCAUUCCGAGAUGUACGAAACAACCAACUACGCAACUAUGUCUUUGAAUACUCUAGAGACAAACCAUGUAAGCUUAAGCCGGGUUCUUGUAAGCUUCAACCUCUAUUUAACCCGCAUCAAGGCAUCUACGCGGUUGGGCUUGUGCUAAUUGAAUAUCGUUUGCUAAUUAAAGACGAAGAAGGUGAAGACAAGGUGUUAAUAGACGGAUAUUCGGUCUAUGCUCCAUCUUUCUAUGCAGAAUAUGAAAGGCUCCAUUGGCACAUUAACACUGGCCAUCACGGCAGCAUCGAUCUAAGAAUGGCUUCUAUACCAAAGGCCGUGUUGGCUGUGUUGGAGUUUGAGGUGCAUCAUCUUGGGGACAAUUUGUUUGACUCACUUACAAUAACUGCGGUCUAUCGUACCAUGCAAGGGCGUGCUUUUUCAGUCUUCAAUGGCAAGUUGAGUGUUUGCAGGCUGCCACCGGUCACAGUUUGUGUGGAUUACACCAAGAAUUUGACUAUAGACUUGUACACGUACAACAGUCACUCAGGUGAUGAUAAUUGCUAUCCUGAUGGCGUUGUUGGUGAUUCAAAAAUUCCUGGAUAUUUUCAUUACGACAUUGAGGAUAUUAUGUCUAACACCGUGUGGUUUAAACCGCAGAAGAGUGGAAGCUCUACAAAAAAUUCAAGUAAUUUGUACAGUCUUGUAAUGUCAGUGAAGGUCACGUGGUCUAGCUUGUGUGAACCAUGUCAGUAA
rnacentral:rRNA from 1 species